CCUACGGGUGUCAGCAGUGAGGAAUAUUGGUCAAUGGGCGGAAGCCUGAACCAGCCAAGUAGCGUGCAGGAUGACGGCCCUACGGGUUGUAAACUGCUUUUAUACGGGAAUAACGCGCCUUACGUGUCGGGCUUUGCAUGUACCCUAUGAAUAAGGACCGGCUAAUUCCGUGCCAGCAGCCGCGGUAAUCCGGAAGGUCCGGGCGUUAUCCGGAUUUAUUGGGUUUAAAGGGAGCGUAGGCCGCAUGUCAAGCGUGCUGUGAAAUGUCCGGGCUGAACCCGGGCCUUGCAGCUCGAACGGGCGUGCUUGAGUCAGCGGAAAGCAGGCGGAAUU
rnacentral:rRNA from 1 species